rfam:Gorilla gorilla gorilla genomic chromosome, chr19, whole genome shotgun sequence
GCCAGGUGUGGUGGUGUGCACCUGUAGUCCCAGCUACUCAGGAGGCUGAGGCAGGAGGAUCGCUUGACUCCAGGAGUUCAAGGCUGCAGUGAGCCAUAAUCAUGCCAUUGUACUCUAGCCUGGGCAACAAAGCAAGACCCUGUCUCAA